AUGUUUCGAUGAGAACCAAAAUUUGUUUGAGGAAAGAACCAAAAUUGUUUUGGGGAGUGGGCCACCUCUAGGGCGGGACCUUAACAGAAAAGCCCCGACUAACUGAGGUGCCCACCAGGGGCGGGUAUUCGUAGGUGGCUAAGCGUUAUACCGAAUUUUGGGGCGGAAAAGCGCGCGUAGGCGGUUUUUUAAAUUCAGAUGUAAAAGUCCAGGGUUCAACCGGGGAAGGUCAUUGGAAACUGGGAACUUGAGUGCAGAAGAGGAGAGUGGAAUUCCAUGGGUAGCGGUGAAAUGCGCAGAGAUAUGGAGGAACACCAGUGGCGAAGGCGGCUCUCUGGUCUGUAACUGACGCUGAUGUGCGAAAGCGUGGGGAUCAAACAGGAUUAGAUACCCUGGUAGUCCACGCCGUAAACGAUGAGUGCUAAGUGUUAGGGGGUUUCCGCCCCUUAGUGCUGCAGCUAACGCAUUAAGCACUCCGCCUGGGGAGUACGACCGCAAGGUUGAAACUCAAAGGAAUUGACGGGGACCCGCACAAGCGGUGGAGCAUGUGGUUUAAUUCGAAGCAACGCGAAGAACCUUACCAAAUCUUGACAUCCUUUGAUCGCUCUAGAGAUAGAGUUUUCCCCUUCGGGGGACAAAGUGACAGGUGGUGCAUGGUUGUCGUCAGCUCGUGUCGUGAGAUGUUGGGUUAAGUCCCGCAACGAGCGCAACCCUUAAGCUUAGUUGCCAUCAUUAAGUUGGGCACUCUAGGUUGACUGCCGGUGACAAACCGGAGGAAGGUGGGGAUGACGUCAAAUCAUCAUGCCCCUUAUGAUUUGGGCUACACACGUGCUACAAUGGAUAAUACAAAGGGCAGCGAAACCGCGAGGUCAAGCAAAUCCCAUAAAAUUAUUCUCAGUUCGGAUUGUAGUCUGCAACUCGACUACAUGAAGCUGGAAUCGCUAGUAAUCGUAGAUCAGCAUGCUACGGUGAAUACGUUCCCGGGUCUUGUACACACCGCCCGUCACACCACGAGAGUUUGUAACACCCGAAGCCGGUGGAGUAACCUUUUAUUAGGAGCUAGCCGCGAAGGGAC
rnacentral:rRNA from 1 species